GACGAACGCUGGCGGCGUGCUUAACACAUGCAAGUCGAACGGAAAGGCCCUGCUCUUGUGGGGUGCUCGAGAGGCGAACGGGUGAGUAACACGUGAGUAACCUGCACUUGACUUUGGGAUAACUUCAGGAAACUGGGGCUAAUACCGGAUAGGAGCUCCUGCUGCAUGGUGGGGGUAGGAAAGUUUCGGCGGUUGGGGAUGGACUCGCGGCUUAUCAGCUUGUUGGUGGGGUAGUGGCUUACCAAGGCUUUGACGGGUAGCCGGCCUGAGAGGGUGACCGGCCACAUUAGGACUGAGAGACGGCCCAGACUCCUACGGGAGGCAGCAGUGGGGAAUAUUGCACAAUGGGCGGAAGCCUGAUGCAGCAACGCCGCGUGCGGGAUGACGGCCUUCGGGUUGUAAACCGCUUUCGCCUGUGACGAAGCGUGAGUGACGGUAAUGGGUAAAGAAGCACCGGCUAACUACGUG
rnacentral:rRNA from 1 species